GAUAAAGGGGCCCACAGUGCCUGCUCUUGGAACCAAAUUCUAAAAUGAAAUGUGCCCACAAGGUAGAGUAUACUUCUCUGCCCUUCACAUGCCACUCCUGGGGUUCCUUCUGAUUCUAACUGUGGAAGUGACCUAUGCUCCUGGCUGCCUUUGUCCUCCUGUUUCCAUUCUUGACUUGCGCUUCAGAGAUCAUGCUUAUCCCCAUUUCUCUGAUUUCAUGAGGAAAUGGUGGGAAAGGAGAAAGAAGAUCAAGUUGUCGAGGGUGGAGGAAGUGUUCAAACUGACCCACAGAAUGAAGUAUGGCUAGAAGAGGCAAGAACAUAGAGGUAAGGAGGGGAGUGGG